CAGAGCAAGACUCCGUCUCAAAAAAAAAAAAAAACAAUGAAAAGACAAGCCACAGACUAUGAAAAAAUACUUGCAAACCAUAUAUCUAAUAAAGGACUUGUACCCACACUAUGUAAAGAACUCAUAACUCAUUAAUAGAAAAAGCUGAAGACAAUUCACGCAAGAAGAUAUACAAAUAAGCACAUUAAAAUGGCCAAUAUUAUUAGUCACUAGGGAAAUGCAAAUUAAAGGCACAAUGAAAUACCUAUUACACACCCACUAGAAUGACUGCAAACAAUAAGACUGAUAAUUCCAAAAUCUGACCAGGAUAUGGAGAAACUGCGAUAUGUAGCUUCCUACAUUGCUGGCAUGACUGCAAAAUGAUACAGCCACUUUGAAACACCAUUUGGCAGUUGCUUAAAAAAAUGAACAUUCAAUUACCAUAUGACCCAGCAAUUUCACUCUUAGGUAUGUAACCAAAAUACAUGAAAACAUGGAUCUGCACAAGGUCUUGUAUACAAAUGUUCAUAGCAACAUUAUUCAUAAUAACCAGAAAUUAGCCCAUCACCUGAAAAGUAGAUAAACUAAAUGUAUAUCCACAUCAUGGAAUGCUACUCAGCACACUUCUAAAAAGCAGCAGACUACUAACACAUGCAACAACAUGAAUGAACCUCAGAAACACAAGUGAAAGAGGUCAGACACAAAAGACUACAGAUUGUAUGAUUCCAUUUAGAUACCAUUUCUACAAACCGUAAAACUGCAGAGGCACGAAACAGAUUCAUGGUCUCCUGCAGCUGGGGAUGGGAGUGGGAAGAGGGAGCAAACAUUUUGGGAUGAUGGAAACGUUCUAAAACUGGAUUGUGAUUUUGGUUACAUAACUAUACAUUUACUAAAAUCACUGAACAGUACACUUUUACUGGUAAGCUUUAAGGCAUGUGAAUUAUACAUCAAUAAAGCUAUUUUUUAAAAAAAGAGAGAGCAAGAGCUACAUGGCAGCCCCAGGGCAGUAGCUCUCAGAUCUCCCUUAGAGAAAGAACUAUCUCUUCCACAGCGAUGAGUGCAGGUAGCUAACACUCUCCAACCUGCAUCUGGUAGUUCAUUUGAGAUCGACCUCGGCUUUCAAGUUAACGCCAUGCUCUUUCUUGGCAGUCCCCAGCCAAGAAGUGGGCACAGAAAGGCACAGGGGCCUGGCUGAUUCAGCCCAACAUGAGGCUCCUCACCCUAGAACUCCCUGUGGAGUUGGCCGAGCCCACAUGUGACCUGUAAUGUGGUCUAAGCUGUGAGACCACCACAGUGCGGGAAGGUUUUCCAUAUCUCAGCCUGCUUCUACUCCCUUUUAUUUUUCCCAGGAGUCACCCUUGGUCAUCUCUUACUCUUUGAACUCCAUGUCAGUGUCAGCUACCCAGAGGACCCAUCAGACAGAAAGUAAUAUGCAGAUAACAGCCCAGGGGAAUCUGAGCAGCACCCUGAAACCAACAUUUCCUCAGUGAAACCUAGAACAAAAGUGGAAUAAAUAAAAACUACUAACAGUCUCAUUUCGGCACUGGCAGUCUCACUCUGGAAUCUGUGUUCAUGCUCCCCAGGCCUAUACUACAAGCUCAUUCAGCCAUAACAGGGCAACUGUGAGGCUGUUGGAUGGGAUGAUGUUGAAAGUAAAUGCUUGGUGCCACCAACUGAAAAUAGCACUCAGGCAAAAGUUUUCUCAGCAAGGCAAUUUACCUUUAUAGAAGUGUGCAUCUCACAGAUGGAACAAUGGCAAGAGCACACUGGACAAGGGAGGGGAAGGGGGCCUUAUUCCUAACACAGCUAGCCCUACUGCUAUAUUUUUCCCCUAUUUACUAGGGUUGGACUGCACAGUCUACGCUAAUUCCGAUUGGCUAUUUUAAAGAGAGCAGGGGUGCGAGCCAGAGUGGCAGGACGGUUAGAGAACAGGUGACUAAGGAUGACUAAGGACAGAACAGGUGACUAAGGAUGACUAAGGACAGAACAGGUGACUAAGGAUGACUAAGGACAGAACAGGUGACUAAGGAUGACUAAGGACAGAAGAGGUACUGAUGACAGAGCAGGCGACUAAGGACAGAGCAGGUGACUAAGCACAGAAUAGGUGACUAAGGAUGACUAAGGACAGAGCAGGUGACUAAGGACAGAACAGGUGACCAAGGACAGAGCAGGUGACUAACGACCAAACAGGUGACUAAGGGUGACUAAGGACAAAGGUGACUAAGGACGCAACAGGUGACUAUGGAUGACUAAGGACAGAACAGGUGACUAAGGACAGAGCAGAUGACUAAGGUUGACUAAGGACAGAGCAGGUGACUAAGGACAGAGCAGGUGACUAACAAUGACUAAGGAUAGAACAGGUGACUAAAGGUGACUAAGGACAGAGCAGGUGACUAAGAAUGACUAAGACCAGAGCAGGUGACUAAAGACAAAACAGAUGACUAAGGACAGAGCAGAUGACUAAGGAUGACUAAGGACAGAGCAGGUGACUAUGGAUGACUAGGCACAGAACAGGUGACUAAGGACAGAGCAGGUGAUAGAGGCUAGGAGGGAGUUGUUUACUGAAACUAGGGGCAAACAGAUGUAAAGAACGAGAAAGUUAAACUUUAAAGUGGAGAACAAAGAACAGCCGAACAUCCUGACACAUUGGUUCUUUGGAGAGGAACUCAGAGAACUCAUUGUACUUAACAAUUUUCUCCCUCUUAAAUUUUAAAAGACAGGAACAGGCUAAACUUUGAAGAGGAAUUUACUGCAUCCUACAGAUGACAAUUAAUGAUCAAUCUUGCAAUGUUUACUGAGGUCACUAUCCUCAGUGCUAUACGUGUUCUGUGUCCCAUUGACUUCAGGGUAACUACAUGGUCCUUAAACUUAGAAUCAAAGUAUUUCCAUGAGACCUUCCUUAAUAGACAUUUGUUCUCAGCCUUCUUUCAAUAGCAACAUCCUUUGUUCAAAUGAGGAUGCACAAAGAAUACAAUAGGUAAAAACAUGGUAUCAGGACUGCUCUCAUUAAGCUGGCGUGGGAGGUGGUCACAUGAGGGUUUCAGAUCCUCACCCAAGGAUCUCAUCUUUCUCUGCACAAGGGUAAGCUGCACAGUGCCUUUGUAGAUACUUCUGAGAUUGCCUGAAACUUGCUGGUCUGGCUCAGUCUCUCCUAUCACUGACAAAGAAGCCAAGACCUCGAAAGUCAUGCCACCCAUGAGCGGUAACUCAUGCAAAGAAUCGCAAUACCAGAACUCCUGACCCACGAGGCUUCCUCUCUGUGCCCCCAAGAUGUCCCAAACCGAAAUGGUAUAUGCACGACGGAGAACUUAGAUCAAACUCGGAAAACGUCUUCAAAAGUGAAACGCAGCACAUUGCAGAGACGUCACAAAUGAGACUUCCCUUGACGGUCCCUGAGAGCAUCUUUGUGUUCCUUGUAGCUGCUCCCAUUAUUUUGGGCAGACAUUGGCACAGUCUUUGAUGAAACAUUUUUCACCUUGAGUUACAGUAAAUGUUAUCUCAUGUUUUUGGAAAUGCCAUCCAAGGACUUAAGAGAUAUCAUUGCUAGAUAAUUGUUUAUAAUCAUGCCCCUUAUAAUUUCAUUUGAAGA